rnacentral:rRNA from 1 species
AGCGAACGCUGGCGGCAGGCCUAACACAUGCAAGUCGAACGAACCUUUCGGGGUUAGUGGCGGACGGGUGAGUAACACGUGGGAACGUGCCUUUAGGUUCGGAAUAACUCAGGGACACUUGUGCUAAUACCGAAUGUGCCCUUCGGGGGAAAGAUUAAUCGCCUUUAGAGCGGCCCGCGUCUGAUUAGCUAGUUGGUUGAGGUAAUGGCUCACCAAGGCGACGAUCAGUAGCUGGUAUGAGAGGAUGAUCAGCCACAUUGGGACUGAGACACGGCCCAGACUCCUACGGGAGGCAGCAGUGGGGAAUCUUGCGCAAUGGGCGAAAGCCUGACGCAGCCAUGCCGCGUGAAUGAUGAAGGUCUUAGGAUUGUAAAAUUCUUUCACCGGGGACGAUAAUGACGGUACCCGGAGAAGAAGCCCCGGCUAACUUCGUG